CCCUUAGAUGUUCUGGGCCGCACGCGCGCUACACUGACGAUGGCAACGAGUUUUUCCUUCGCCGAAAGGUGUGGGUAAUCUUUUGAAACAUCGUCGUGCUGGGGAUAGAUCAUUGCAAUUUUUGAUCUUGAACGAGGAAUUCCUAGUAAGCGCGAGUCAUCAGCUCGCGUUGAUUACGUCCCUGCCCUUUGUACACACCGCCCGUCGCUACUACCGAUUGAAUGGUUUAGUGAGGACUCCUGAUUGGCGCCGCCGCCCCGGCAACGGAGCAACGGACUGCCGAAAAGUUGUUCAAACUUGAUCAUUUAGAGGAAGUAAAAGUCGUAACA
rnacentral:rRNA from 1 species